UUUUGCAAUAUGUUCCUGAUAUGUAAUAUAUAAGUAUAUUGGGAACAUUUUGCAUCCAU
rnacentral:pre_miRNA from 1 species